ensembl:lincRNA
AGGCAAAGGCACAUCAUUUGAAAGGCAUUUUAGGAGACGAAAUCUGCCUCCAUAAGAUUAUGGAUAUUGUUGAUGUCCUACCUCAGAGGUCCUGCUGAGGAUCCCUGGUUCCCAGUAGGGAAGACCGUGAGGAGGAGGGCCAAGAAAGGCACUCUUUCCAGUGAUUUCCAUCGCCAUUCGUACAUGGAGUUUGGCUACAGCAAAAUCCGUUGCUAUCUCACCAGCUACAAGAAAGAAAGACAAAAUUCCAAUUCAUUUUUGUGCUCUAGGACCUUGGUUAAAGAACACACCCUUCAAAGUGCUAAUGCUGUUCCAGCUCAGCAGACACCUCGUCUCAGGAAAGCCAUUAGAAACCCCCAAAGUACUACAUUUUUCUCCUGGUAAGUAGCUCACUUCCCACAACUUCCCACCACUUUGCAUUAAGUGAGCUCAACAAAUGAGUCACACUGCUUACAGAAGCAAAUUCGGGAACCACACCCAAAACAGAGGCAUCUUGACUUUUCCCAAGAAGCUGUCAGUAUCACCAGAAAGAGGGUUUUGGGGGACCUAUAGUUAGAAAACCCCAAACUCCCAAGCUAUCUUUGAAUUCAUAUGCAAACCUAAGAGCUCAUUUUCUGUCAGGGAUUUUUUUUAUCCACGUCGUUCAGUAACAGUUGAGAAUCACUGGCCAUUUAUAAGAUGAUUAUUUACUUUUUGAAAACAUCUAUCAUAGCUUUUAAAUUAUGACUAUGACUUUCAAGAAAAAUAUCAAGAAUUUAUUCAUUGCAUAAAAAUAGGUACAAUUUCAUUUAGAUCAGCCCUUUCUGACCUGCAGGCUACAGGGUAAAGUAGACAGUGCAUGGGGUUAUAGUCAGAAGACCAUGAUUCAAGUGAUGGUUUUGCCACUUACUGAAUGAUAUAUAUAUUGUACAAUUCAUAAACAAUGAAAUAGACGAAAGUACAUGGAAAACUUAAUGCAAUACAAAAUGUUAGAUUUUUAAAAAUAGUAAUCUUUAAUCCUUUAUAUUGCCCAAUAGUCCUGGUACUAAUUUUUUUUUAAUUAAUUUUGUGGAUGUAUUUUUGCAUCCUUCUAAAUCAAUGUAUAUUUUUUAAAGCUAUAGGCUUUCACAAUGAAUGGAAAACUCUGCAUUCAUGAUUGAUUGGCUAGGAUAAAAGACUGUUAAAUGGUUUUGAGUAAUCGUAUGUCUAAAAAAUUGGUUUUCCAAUGUGAGGUACCUUGUUUGCCAAAAUGUCCACAUUGUUCCCUUCUUGGUAUAGAGCUCUUUAUAAUGCUACUGUGAAACUCUUCUUCAUUCCCUGGAUCUGGACUGGCUUUGUGACCUGCUUAGGCCACUAUAAUGGCACAAAACGGAUGCUGUGACAAUUCUAAGUCUUGGCCUCAAGAGGCUGUGCACUUCUAAUCUUACUCUUAGAAUUUUGCCACUGCCACAUGGAUGAGUCUGGGCUAGGCUUCUGGUUGAUGAGAAACAUGUAACCUUAUUACCAGUGUCCUUAAACCCAGUCAAUAAAUAGCUAAUAGCCAUACAUGAGAGUGAGGCCAUCCUGUAUCAGGUAGCACCCAGCUGACCUAUCAGCUGAGCACAAAUGCAUGACUGAGUCCAGCCAAGAUCAACUGGGUCAGACCCUGAGAAUCAGAACAAUUCCCUCAUUUGUGAGUAAUGAUUGUUUAAGGUACUUUUUUUUUUUCUUUUUUACAUAGCAACAGAUUGACUGAUAUACAAGGUUUCUAUAUCAUUAAAAAAUAAACUCCUCAUAGCAUGCCAUACUAAGGUAACAGAAAUGGGGUCCCUCCCUUUAUAAACCUAAAGAAAUGCUGGCUGAAAUACAUGGCCAAGUUUAAGAGACAUAAAGGAAAUCUCCAAGGGCAAAGUAAAGAUAACUCAAAUACCAAAAGCUAUUGUCACAUGUGGGCACAUAGCUUUGCACAUGGUUAUAGGCAUUAGUGACUGGGGGCCAAAGUUUCAAUUCUCACACAGAGAACGAUGACAGGGCUCACGUUGGGGGCCUGCUGCUUCUGGCACUGCCACUAUCCACAAAGUUUUGUUCAAAUCAAACAACUGUUGUAAAUUCUUUCAAGGAACUCCUCUUAGAAUACCAUGGUGGCCCCAAAUCCAGCUCAUGCCACCACCAAGGCAGGCAGCACAGCCUGGGGUCACAGCCAGCCUGCAUGAUCUCCUGCUCCUUCUACUUCUCUAGUGUUAAACAGAGACUCAGACCAAGAAACUUCAAUACUCUCCCAUCCUCUAACCUCAAUCCAAAUGACUUCUGGAAGUCUCGUAUGGCCAGGAAAAAGCAGGUCAUGGAAUUUCAUUCCAUACCUUGUUUUAUUAAUACAGAAAAUGUUGACAAUUCUAAGUCUGAUUGAAGAACAUGUAAAGGCUUUGACCAGAUGAUAAAUGCCAAUAUUAAAUCUGCUGGAUUCCAUGUACAGAAUGAAGAGACAACACCCCAAAUUAGUUAAAGACAUAAUUUCUUUAACCGUGGCUUAAGAAACAAUGGACACUUAAAACCCUACCUUACAAAUCAGAAUAGAUUUUAUCUUAUCUAGAGAUAAAGAAUGAGAUGUGGAGUGGAGGUUCAGUUUUAUUUGGUUUAUUAAGGUUUACUAAAUCUGUAAGACUACAGAAGAGGCAAUAUAAAAAGCUUCCAUGAUUCUAUUUAUAUGUAUAUUAGAAGGAACUUCCAGAUGUUACUGUAAAUCCUUAAUGUAUUGUUUCAGCAGUACUAAGUUAAUGUCGAUAUACUUUAGCUUUACAUUAUCACUGUUCUCUUGCGAAUUGGACUCUUUUUUUUUUUUCCUCUGAGGCUUUGGAUUUGACAUUGUAUUUGACUUUAUAUGUGGUAAUUGACAUGUGUAAGGGCAAUGAUGAACUGGAAGCUACCCUAAACUUAUGCAUCAUGAGUACCGUUGCUUAUAGACUUUUAAAGCCAAUAGUAGACAUUUCCCAUCGCUUGUUCCCAUUCAACAAAAGCAACAGGUUCACUGAGCUACAAAAUUGUACUUAGAGUUGGUUAGAACAAUGAUAUAAGCUGUAAUUUUGUACAAACAAGCUACAACAUUCUACUAAUAAAAACAGAAGCUGUAGUUGUCCAAAUUUACACACAUAGCAAUUAUCAAUUUUUUUCCACAAGGCCAAUGUUGAAUUAGAAAAAAAUCUUAGCAUAAUGAUAUGAGAUUUAUCUCUUCAUUGCCCAUAUCAAUCAGAUAUCAGAUUUUUUUUUUUUUUGAGA